rnacentral:rRNA from 1 species
GAUGAACGCUGGCGGCGUGCCUAAUACAUGCAAGUCGAGCGGACGGACGAGGCGCUUGCUUCUCUGAUGUUUGCGGCGGGCGGGUGAGUAACACGUGGAUACCCUACCUAUCAGACUGGUAUAACUUCGGGAAACCGGAGCUAAUACCGGAUGAUAUUUUGAACCGCAUGGUUCAAUAGUGAAAGACGGUCUUGCUGUCACUUAUAGCUGCAUCCGCGCUGCAUUAGCUAGUUGGUAAGGUAACGGCUUACCAAGGCAACGAUGCAUAGCCGACGUGAGAGGGUGAUCGGCCACACUGGAACUGAGACACGGUCCAGACUACUACGGGAGGCAGCAGUAGGGAAUCUUCCGCAAUGGGCGAAAGCCUGACGGAGCAACGCCGCGUGAGUGAUGAAGGUCUUCGGAUCGUAAAACUCUGUUAUUAGGGAAGAACAUAUGUGUAAGUAACUGUGCACAUCUUGACGGUACCGAAUCAGAAAGCCACGGCUAACUACGUG